AGCGAACGCUGGCGGCAGGCCUAACACAUGCAAGUCGAACGGAUCCUUCGGGAUUAGUGGCGGACGGGUGAGUAACACGUGGGAACGUGCCCUUUGGUUCGGAACAACUCAGGGAAACUUGAGCUAAUACCGGAUGUGCCCUUCGGGGGAAAGAUUUAUCGCCAUUGGAGCGGCCCGCGUCUGAUUAGCUAGUUGGUGAGGUAAAGGCUUACCAAGGCUACGAUCAGUAGCUGGUCUGAGAGGAUGAUCAGCCACAUUGGGACUGAGACACGGCCCAAACUCCUACGGGAGGCAGCAGUGGGGAAUCUUGCGCAAUGGGCGAAAGCCUGACGCAGCCAUGCCGCGUGAAUGAUGAAGGUCUUAGGAUUGUAAAAUUCUUUCACCGGGGACGAUAAUGACGGUACCCGGAGAAGAAGCCCCGGCUAACUUCGUGCCAGCCGCCGCGGUAAAAC
rnacentral:rRNA from 1 species